UACAGAGGUCUCAAGCGUUGUUCGGAUUCAUUGGGCGUAAAGGGUGCGUAGGCGGCGCGGUAAGUCGGGUGUGAAAUCUCGGAGCUUAACUCCGAAACUGCAUUCGAUACUGCCGUGCUUGAGGACUGGAGAGGAGACUGGAAUUUACGGUGUAGCGGUGAAAUGCGUAGAUAUCGUAAGGAACACCAGUGGCGAAAGCGGCUUCCUGGUCCAGCACCGACGUUCAGGCACGAAAGCGUGGGGAGCAAACAGGG
rnacentral:rRNA from 1 species